rnacentral:lncRNA from 1 species
AAAAAAAUGCUUGGAUAGUAAUAGCUCUGUUCUUACAAAAACUGAGGAUGUACAUAUUAACAGAUCUGGCAUGCUUGAGGUCUUUCUUAGCCAGACUUUUGCAGGAAAUGAGGCUUAUAUAACUGCGCCAUCUGUUUUCCCAUUAAUUCCUAGAGGAAAGUAGCCAGUGGGGUCAAACUUGACGGAGUCAAGAUUUCAUCAAAUUCAUACAAGCUUCAUGAAAAGAGGCUAGAAAAGGGAGUAAUACAGUCCUCACUGAGAUGUACAGAGAAGCGGUCUCAAGUACUCCUGCCUCCUUUGUCCCAGUACUGUCACUUGUCUGGGGGGUGAACCAGGAGCUAAACCAGCCUGUAAGAGCCCUGCAAGGUGUGGGGGGAGAGGGAAGAAUGAAUAUUUCCUUUGGGAAUAUAAACUAGCACGAAGGGGGAGUGUGGGAGCAGGGGCACUAGCUGUUAAUACCAAAUCAUGUUUUUACUGUGCCAAGCAGCUCCUUGGGCUUCAAAUCAGAAAAAGGGGGACAGCAAAACCCUCGUCUCCCAUAAGGAAAAAUAGCCAGGGAAUAGCUGUGAUUUGUCUUACUCUUAACCUCCAAAAUAUUUUCCCUGAGUUCUGUGAAAUUGGUCCUUUUUCUGAAGUGAUUUGAGGUGGGGGAUGGAAAAGAGGAAUAAUGACAACUGUACAGAUAUCCAAGUAAGAAGCAAUGUCAGUAUUAGAAGGAUUUUUCAAUUUUCAAUCUAGAUAAUACCAUCCACUACCUGAAAAGUACUUCCACCAAAUAAAGAGCUUUUGUGUGCAUUCUUGCUGUCCCACAGCUUUUCUCAUUCUGAGCAUGUAAACAGUUCUGCGUUCCUGGCUAGCUGAGUCAUUGCUUUUCACUGAGCAUCUGCCACAG